rnacentral:rRNA from 1 species
UACGAGAGGCCCAAACGUUAUUCGGAAUUACUGGGCUUAAAGAGUCCGUAGGCGGCGCAGAAAGUAGGGUGUGAAAGCCCUCGGCUUAACCGAGGAAUUGCGCUCUAAACUACUGUGCUUGAGGAACCUAGAGGUGAGCGGAACUGAUGGUGGAGCGGUGAAAUGCGUUGGAUAUCAGUCAGGAACACCGGGAGGCGAAGGGCGGCUCACUGGGGGUUAGUCGUAGCAGCGCUGAGGGACGAAAGCCAGGGGAGCGAACGGG